AUACUUACCUGACGCAGGGGUCGCAUUGAUCAAGAAGGAUGCACCCCCAGGGCGAGGCUUGCCAUUGCACUCUGGCUUGCUGAAUCUUGCGGUUCCCCUCGGGGAACUCGGGCGUAUAAUUUAUGGUAACGGAGAUCUGCGUUCGCGCUAUCUCCUA
rfam:Strongylocentrotus purpuratus Contig50608_fixed, whole genome shotgun sequence.